CGUGGUGAUGCCCUCCGUGGUGAUGCCCUCCGUGGUGAUGCCCUCCGUGGUGAUGCCCUCCGUGGUGAUGCCCUCCGUGAUGCUCAACACUGCCACGACCACCAGCCCCAGACGAAGGGAGGAAGGAUGCUUUUCCUCCCAGCUUAGCCAUCUACAAGGAGAUGAUGCAAUCAGCUGUGCAACGCUGGAGAUAACGCUGCUGGCGGGGUUUGUUUUUUGACCUUGAGAGGCCGUGUUUCCCCUCACCUUCCUGCCGACACAUCAGAGCUCACAUCUUAAUUAUACACUGUGAUUCGAGUUCCCUUUCAUACACGCAGAUCAGGGGAUGUUAACACGUGGGAUAGACAAGAUAACUACCUGCAGGUCAGCCCUGGAUGGGUCCUCGUGCAGGAUCAUCCCUCUGCCCCAGGGAGAAGGAACCACCGUCAGCUUCUCCUUCCAUCAGCUAUGGAGAGGACCAGAAUGGUGACACAGAGCCCCUGGUGAGGUUCAGCAUCACUGUUGUGUUUGACAGCACUGCUAAGCAGUCAAUGUGACAGUCAAUGUGACAGGUUUAUUGGGAAAGCAUUGGGUCAGGUGGAUGUGUUAAUGUUAAUGGUUAAUGUUGAGGUCAAUACUGGUUGAAGAGAGAGUAAACCUCUCCCUUCUUGUGUCUCUGCGUCUAUCUAUAUACAUGCGCAUAGUCCUCCUUCAUGUGUGUGCAUAUAUACAUGCACAUACACACAUAUAUGUAUCUGUAUGUAUGCACAUGUGUCUUUAAGCAUCCCAUAGCAAAAGUGGAGCUAGCAAAGGGCGUGAAUGUUCUUCAUGUUCCAGCCGAGCAGCUCCUGGCCAGAAUUCCAUCUUUUUAUUAAAGUUUGAUUCAAAGCCUUCA